UAGUUGGAUUUGGGUCGACCGGGCCGUCGGGCCGCCGCCUCCGCGCGGCGAGUUCCCGUGCGUCCCCGGGACCGCACGUUCACCCCCGCGGUGCUCUUGACUGAGUGUCCGCGGUAGCGGGUGACCGAACGUUUACCUUGACAAAACCGGAGUGCUCGAGGCGUGGGCGUUCGCCGCCCGUACGUCCUCGCUGGGAAUAAUGGAAGAGGACCGUUGGUCAAAAAAGGUUUUUUGUCAGAGAGGCGGAGAGCAAAAAGGAGGUUGUGUUGGCGGGGGGUUACAAAGGGGGGCGACUCCCUUUCCCCCUCUGGCCUUCCUCUUUCUCCUCCUUGAAACCUUCCCCCCGCGUACCGCACCGGAGAUCGGUUGGCGCUAUUCGGCGGAAAGGGCGGUCUGAGACAGAAGGGUGAAAGCAGGUGGUCGUUUGCCGGAAAGCGAAAGCUGGACGGCCGGUCGUCUGUGGAAACCUGGAAUCUUAUUCCCCCUGACUGUCGUGGUGCUUCCGACUCUUCGGUGUCAGCGGGAGGAGGUCGAAAACCGUAAUAAAAAUAACGUGUCAUGAUUAAGAGGGACGGCCGGGGGCAUUCGUACCGCGGCGCGAGAGGUGAAAUUCUAGGACCGUCGCGAGACGAACGAUAGCGAAAGCAUUUGCCAAGAAUGUUUUCCUUAAUCAAGAACGAAAGUCGGAGGUUCGAAGGCGAUCAGAUACCGCCCUAGUUCCGACCUUAAACCAUGCCGUCCGACCGCCCGCCAGGGUUACUACCGCGACUCGGCGGGCGGUGACUUUCCACCGGGAAACCCUUAAGCUUUCGGGUUCCGGGGGAAGUACGGUCGCAAAGCUGAAACUUAAAGGAAUUGACGGAAGGGCACCACCAGGAGUGGAGCCUGCGGCUUAAUUUGACUCAACACGGGGAACCUCACCCGGCCCGGACACCGCGAGGAUUGACAGAUCGAUAGCUCUUUCUCGAUCCGGUGGGUGGUGGUGCAUGGCCGUUCUUAGUUGGUGGAGCGAUCUGUCUGGWUAAUUCCGAUAACGAACGAGACUCUAGCCGGUUAAGUAGCCCGAGUGGCGUGUUGUUGAUUUAAAAACCGCCCUAGUGGCAUUCGAGGCUUUCCUGGAGGCUGGCUGGCUUUAACGAUGAUGGGUGGGGGUGGGAGGGAGGUGACGGUUCGGGUGGCGUGCGUCGCUGCCUGGAUCUAGCUUUCCAACUACCCUUUACUUCCGUCUCGUUUCGGCCUUUCACUUUUGGGAUCGUCCGUUUGCUUAACUGGGGUAGAUAAAACGCUAACGAGAGUCGGGGGAGUGGGCGUUACUUGUGGAACGGGUGGGCGCGCCUCACGGUGUGUCCCUCUUCCCGGUUUCGUAUUUCUGCUUUCCUCGUCGUCUCGCGCCACCGGCUUUCGAGUGCAAAAGCUUCUUAGAGGGACGAGCGGCGUUCAGCCGCGCGAGAUUGAGCGAUAACAGGUCUGUGAUGCCCUUAGAUGUCCGGGGCCGCACGCGCGCUACACUGAAGGGGUCAACGCGCCGUUGCGUUUCCCGGGCCGAAAGGCUCGGGGAACCGGUGGAACCCCGACGUAG
rnacentral:rRNA from 1 species